rnacentral:rRNA from 1 species
UAUAAGUGAUGGCGACCGGCGCACGGGUGAGUAACACGUAUCCAACCUGCCGAUAACUCGGGGAUAGCCUUUCGAAAGAAAGAUUAAUACCCGAUGGUAUAAUAAAGCCGCAUGGUUUAAUUAUUAAAGAAUUUCGGUUAUCGAUGGGGAUGCGUUCCAUUAGGCAGUUGGUGAGGUAACGGCUCACCAAACCUUCGAUGGAUAGGGGUUCCGAGAGGAAGGUCCCCCACAUUGGAACUGAGACACGGUCCAA